GAGCUGCACAUGCGCAGGACGACGCCGGCGGUGCGCCUGACAGAGCCCACCUCGGGAGCGGGACCAAUCCCCGGACUCUGUUUCCCAGUUACGAAAUGUGGUUGAGUGAUCGCAACCCCAUUAAGCAACAUUAUCAUUUGACAGCAAACAGGUAGGGCAGACUUGGGAUGACUAUGAACAUCAUGAAGGCCUGUCAUUAGCAUCCGGAUGGACUUCCUGCUGAAAACCUACAUCUCCCCUGGGCUCUGAAAUUGAGAGAAAAAGAGGAUGUCCGAUUGAUUGCAAGGAGGC